rnacentral:snRNA from 1 species
AUCGCUUCUCGGCCUUUUGGCUAAGAUCAAAGUGUAGUAUCUGUUCUUAUCAGCUUAAUCUCUGGUACGGUCUCCAUAGGGGACCCAGAAGAUUAAACUGAUUUUUGGAAAAUGACGGAGUGCUAGGGGCUUGCUCCACCUCUGUCGCGGGUUGACCCGGUAUUGCAGUACCUCCGGGAACGGCCCACCUAAU